rnacentral:rRNA from 1 species
UACGUCGGGAGCAAGCGUUGUCCGGAUUUACUGGGUGUAAAGGGUGCGUAGGCUGCUUUGCAAGUCAGAUGUGAAAUCUAUGGGCUCAACCCAUAAACUGCUUUCAAAACUGUUUUUCUUGAGUAGUGCAGAGGUAGGCGGAAUUCCCGGUGUAGCGGUGGAAUGCGUAGAUAUCGGGAGGAACACCAGUGGCGAAGGCGGCCUACUGGGCACCAACUGACGCUGAGGCUCGAAAGUGUGGGUAGCAAACAGG